CUUACGUUCCAGGCAGGAACUUACAACAACGAGGAUGAUGAAAUUUUUCUCCACUCGACAAAUAUUUGCUGAGCACCCCCUCUGUGUCAGGGGCAGUUGGAAGUUUCCCAACUUUGCCUAACCAGCUGCACUGGAAUGUGGCCAUUCCCUCGAGGGAUCAUGGCCCAGAAGAAGCCCCCACCCCACACACCAUGGAAUCAACUCUACACGAGGCCCCAGAAGGUCUGCCGUCCAGGCCCUUCCAGUCGGGGCCUCAGCUGUCUCCUCUGAAAAAGGGAGCGAACUCAGCUCUGCCAUGCACAGGGUGGGUGUGAUGUCACAUGAGGUAAAGCUCAAAACAAUUUAUACCUUCAGAGGUUGUUCGCCCCUGAACUAAAUGGCCCCAACCGAUGUGUCUUUCCAGUACAUAGCCACGCUGAACAGAGGAGGAGAACUGAUGGGAUAACUUCUCUCACCCACCCAAGUAACACUUGAACAUGGAAUUUGGGCUAUUUCAACUAUGUAUCCUCAGUCAAAAGACAAAACAAAACAACAAAAGCCCUGGAAACAAA